rnacentral:rRNA from 1 species
AGAACGAACGCUGGCGGCAUGCCUAAUACAUGCAAGUCGAACGAAGGCUUCGGCCUUAGUGGCGCACGGGUGCGUAACGCGUGGGAAUCUGCCCCUUGGUUCGGAAUAACAGUUGGAAACGACUGCUAAUACCGGAUGAUGACGAAAGUCCAAAGAUUUAUCGCCAAGGGAUGAGCCCGCGUAGGAUUAGCUAGUUGGUGAGGUAAAGGCUCACCAAGGCGACGAUCCUUAGCUGGUCUGAGAGGAUGAUCAGCCACACUGGGACUGAGACACGGCCCAGACUCCUACGGGAGGCAGCAGUGGGGAAUAUUGGACAAUGGGCGCAAGCCUGAUCCAGCCAUGCGCGUGAGUGAUGAAGGCCUUAGGGUGUAAAAGCUCUUUCAGUGGGAAGAUAAAUGACGGUACCCACAGAAGAAAGCCCCGGCUAACUUCGUGCCAGCAAGCCGC